rnacentral:rRNA from 1 species
CGGAGGGUGCAAGCGUUGUCCGGAUUUAUUGGGUUUAAAGGGUGCGUAGGCGGCCCGGUAAGUCAGUGGUGAAAGCCUCCAGCUCAACUGGAGAACUGCCAUUGAUACUGCCGGGCUUGAGUACAGACGAGGUUGGCGGAAUUGAUUGUGUAGCGGUGAAAUGCAUAGAUACAAUCAAGAACUCCGAUUGCGUAGGCAGCUAACUAGGCUGUAACUGACGCUGAGGCACGAAAGCGUGGGGAGCGAACAGGAUUAGAUACCCUGGUAGUCCACGCUGUAAACGAUGAUUACUCGAUGUUGGCGAUAAACUGUCAGCGUCUUAGCGAAAGCGUUAAGUAAUCCACCUGGGGAGUACGCCCGCAAGGGUG